UACGGGGGGGGGCAAGCGUUGUUCGGAAUUACUGGGCGUAAAGGGCGCGUAGGCGGUGCUCUAAGUUAGAUGUGAAAACUCUGGGCUCAACCCAGAGCCUGCAUCUAAAAACUGGAGUGCUAGAGUUCUGGAGGGGGUAGCGGAAUUCCUGGUGUAGCGGUGAAAUGCGUAGAUAUCAGGAGGAACACCGGUGGCGAAGGCGGUUCUCUGGGCAUGUCCUGACGCUGAGGAGCGAAAGUGUGGGGAGCGAACAGG
rnacentral:rRNA from 1 species